rnacentral:rRNA from 1 species
GAGUUUGAUCGUGGCUCAGGAUGAACGCUAGCGGCGUGCCUUAUGCAUGCAAGUCGAACGGUCUUAAGCAAUUAAGAUAGUGGCAAACGGGUGAGUAAUAGGUAAGUAACCUGCCCUUAAGUGGGGAUAACACUUCGAAAGAAGGUGCUAAUACCGCAUGUGGUGCUCUUUCACAAGGAAGAGUACUGAAGUCGAAAGACGCUUGAGGAGGGGCUUGCCUCCGAUUAGCUAGUUGGUGGGUAACGGCCUACCAAGGUUAUGAUCGGUAGCUGGUCUGAGAGGAUGGUCAGCCACACUGGAACUGAGACACGGUCCAGACUCCUACGGGAGGCAGCAGCAAGGAAUCUUGGGCAAUGGGCGAAAGCCUGACCCAGCGACGCCGGCGUGACGGGAUGACGGCCUUCGGGUUGUAAACCGUCUUUUCUC